rnacentral:misc_RNA from 1 species
AUAAGCGUGAGGUUGGAGGUUCAAGUCCUCCCAGGCCCACCAGUUACACGAUGCUAAAAGUUGCUAUAUUGGGAGAGUUGAUAAUCCCUUACAGGAAAUUAUUGCCCUUAAUAAAACUUUAUUUUCUAAAAGCAUUCAGAGCUGACAUAGAAUAGAGCUGACAUAGAAUUGAGAAUCUGACAUAGGAAUUAUUGAAAUUGUUUUGGAAUUAUUGAAAUUGUUUUCUAUCAUUUUAAAAGGCUAAAAUAUUCUGUCUCUAUUUUUAAAAUAGCAUCAGGUGUUUUGUAAGAGUGUGAAGUUUUUAAGUGUGAGGUUUUUUAUAUUUUAGUGUGAGGUUUUUAUAAGGGUAUGACGUGAGAGCGUUUUGACCUGUUUUAGGGGCCGUAGCUCAGCUGGGAGAGCACCUGCUUUGCAAGCAGG